rnacentral:rRNA from 1 species
UACGUAGGGAGCGAGCGUUGUCCGGAAUCAUUGGGCGUAAAGAGCAUGUAGGUGGAUCAAUUAGUCUGCUGUGAAAGUCAAAGGCUCAACCUUUGAAAGCCGGUGGAUACUGUUGAUCUAGAGUACGGAAGAGGCGAGUGGAAUUCCUGGUGUAGCGGUGGAAUGCGCAGAUAUCAGGAGGAACACCGAUGGCGAAGGCAGAUCUCUGGGCCGUAACUGACGCUGAGGAGCGAAAAGCGUGGGGGAGCAAACAGG